rnacentral:rRNA from 1 species
GACGAACGCUGGCGGCGUGCUUAACACAUGCAAGUCGAACGAAGAGCGAUGGAAGCUUGCUUCUAUCAAUCUUAGUGGCGGACGGGUGAGUAACGCGUAAUCAACCUGCCCUUCAGAGGGGGACACAGGUGGAAAGCGACGGCUAAUCCGGCUUACGACCGCACCACGGCGUCGAGAAGGAAGAUACGGCGGCCACUAUUUUAAAGCUCUCAUAUAAGCGUGGGUUUGCGUCUGAUUAGGAUGAGGGAGGGGUACGGGCCCACAAAGGAAAGGAUCAGUAGCCGGACGGAAAGGAUGAACGGCCACACUGGGACUGAGACACGGCCCAGACUCCUACGGGAGGGAGCAGGGCGGAAUCUUCCGCAAUGGACGAAAGUCUGACGGAGCAACGCCGCGUGAGUGAUGACGGCCGUCGGGUUGUAAAGCUCUGUUAAUCGGGAGGAAAGGUCUUCUUGCGAAUAGGUAGAAGAAUUGACGGUACCGGAAAAGAAAGCCACGGCUAACUACGUG